UCUCCUGUGAAAAUCAUAUGUUCAUGGUUCAGGCAUUCCAGAAAUGGUCGCAGCUAGCAAGUUCUACUGAUUUUAUCUUUAAUGACCUUAAGGAUUUGUUAUUGUUUGUGCACUUUUGAUCUGCCCAACUGUACAGUCAUUUGCUUGAUUGGGAUGCAGCGAUUUGAUGAGUUAUGGAUACCUUUAAGAGUUGGGCAGGCCUCCUUCAAAGCAGAAGCGCAGAGCCUGGGGAACAGCAUCAAGAACAGAAUUUGAAAUUUGACUCUUGAUUAAUUUAAUUUCAGGAAAAGAAGCAAACAUGGGCUUGUAUAAAUAGAAUCUGAGUCCAUAAAAUAUUUGAAAACAAGAAGAGCAGAAAUUCAACUCAG
rnacentral:misc_RNA from 1 species